UAUGCCGUUUUCUAGCACACGUCUCGGGAAAACAUCCCAGCACCUUCACUCUUCCUGCCCACAGCCCGCAGAGACGUAUAAUCAAAUAGCCCCGCCUCCACGUCAGUCACCUUGCAAAGCCUUGAAGCCUUGGAGCGGAACUCGCGUGGACCCAGUCACAAACUGCAACAGCCUGGCCCUCCUUUCUUCAUCAAACGUCUCCACCGCUUGCCAGAACCACCGGACGAUGUUGCUGUCGGCCACACAGUGCUUUAGCCGCGUGUUCGACUUCCAGUCAUUCAGGUCUAUUUUAUCCAGGCCGCCUAUGAUCAGCUGAGGAGGUGCCAAAAGGCUGGCCUCCAACCCCGAGGACCACGGUGCACAGCUACUGAUGGGACAUCAUCUUAUAACCAAAGCAGGGUUUCUGCUCUGCAUUGGUGAGGAGUGAGUAUCAAAGAACCACCCAGUGACACUGAACAGAGCUAACCGUGAGUAAGAGCACAUCCCAGGGUCUCUCCAGGACACUCAAGGACAUGUGAAGUUUCAAGUCUGAAGAAAGGAGAAUUCAGCAAGAGUUACGUGGGGUUGGGGUAGAUCAGAUGUGUUUCUGCAACUUGCUUAAAAAGUUCACCCCCUGCUGGGUGCAGUGGCUCACGCCACUAUAUUCCCAGCACUUUGUGGGGGCUGAAGUUGAGUGGAUCGCUUGAGCCCAGGAGUUCAAGGCCAGGCUGGGCAACAUGGCGAAACCCUUAUCUCUACAACAAAUACAAAAAUUAGCCAGGCAUGGUGACGUACCUGUAGCCGCAGCUACUCAGGAGGCUGAGGUGAGAGGAUCGCUUCAGCCUGGGAGGUCAAGGCUGCAGCGAGCCAUGAUUGCACCACUGCACUCCAGACUGGGCAACAGAGCAAGACUCUC